rnacentral:rRNA from 1 species
UACGAAGGGGGCUAGCGUUGUUCGGAAUUACUGGGCGUAAAGCGCACGUAGGCGGUCUGUUAUGUCGGAUGUGAAAGCCCUUGGCUCAACUGAGGAAGUGCAUCCGAAACUGGCAGGCUAGAGUACUAAAGAGGAUCGCGGAAUUCCCGGUGUAGCGGUGAAAUGCGUAGAUAUCGGAAGGAACAUCAGUGGCGAAAGCGACUUCCUGGACCAGUACCGACGUCAGGCACGAAAGCGUGGGGAGCAAACAGG